rnacentral:rRNA from 1 species
CGUGAGAUGUUGGGUUAAGUCCCGCAACGAGCGCAACCCUUGUCAUUAGUUGCUACGAAAGGGCACUCUAAUGAGACUGCCGGUGACAAACCGGAGGAAGGUGGGGAUGACGUCAAGUCCUCAUGGCCCUUAUGGGUAGGGCUACACACGUCAUACAAUGGCCGGUACAGAGGGUUGCCAACCCGCGAGGGGGAGCUAAUCCCAGAAAACCGGUCGUAGUCCGGAUCGUAGUCUGCAACUCGACUGCG